rnacentral:rRNA from 1 species
GGAGGGUGCAAGCGUUGUUCGGAUUUACUGGGCGUAAAGCGCGCGCAGGCGGACUGGCAAGUCAGAUGUGAAAUCUCGGGGCUUAACCCCGAAACUGCGUCUGAAACUGCUAGUCUAGAGUCUCAGAGGGGGCAGGGGAAUUUCACGUGUAGGGGUAAAAUCCGUAGAGAUGUGAAGGAACACCGGUGGCGAAGGCGCCUGCCUGGAUGAGUACUGACGCUGAGGCGCGAAAGCGUGGGGAGCAAACAGGGAUUAGAUACCCUGGUAGUCCACGCCGUAAACGAUGAGUACUAGUUAUUGGGGGUAUUGACUCCUUCAGUGACGCAGCUAACGCAUUAAGUACUCCGCCUGGGAAGUACGGUCGCAAGACUA